rnacentral:rRNA from 1 species
CAAUAGCGUAUAUUUAAGUUGUUGCAGUUAAAAAGCUCGUAGUUGGAUUUCGGUUAAGAGCGACCGGUCCGCCGUUUGGUGUGCACUGGUUGGUUUUAACUUCCUGUAGAGGACGUGCUCUGGGUUUAACGACCUGGACUCGGAGUCUACGUGGUUACUUUGAAAAAAUUAGAGUGUUCAAAGCGGGCUUACGCUUGAAUAUUUCAGCAUGGAAUAACACUAUAGGACUCCUGUCCUAUUUCGUUGGUCUCGGGACGGGAGUAAUGAUUAAGAGGAACAGUUGGGGGCAUUCGUAUUUCAUUGUCAGAGGUGAAAUUCUUGGAUUUAUGAAAGACGAACUUCUGCGAAAGCAUUUGCCAAGGAUGCUUUCAUUAA